UCAACGAGUCGGGUUGUUUGGGAAUGUAACCCAAAUCGGGCGGUAGACUCCGUCCAAGGCUAAAUACAGGCGAGAGACCGAUAGCGAACAAGUACCACGAGGGAAAGAUGAAAAGGACUUUGAAAAGAGAGUCAAAGAGUGCUUGAAAUUGCUGGGAGGGAAGCGGAUGGGGGCCGGGGAUGCGCCCCGGCCGUAUGCGGAACGGCUCUUGCUGGUCCGCCACUCGGCUCGGGGUGUGGACUGUUGUCGGCCGCGCCGGCGGCCAAAGCCCGGGGGCCCUAGGUGCCCCCGGUGGCCGUCGUCGGCACAGCGGGUACCCGCACGCCGAAAGGCGUGUCCCUCGGGGCACUGCGCUGCAACGGCCUGCGGGCUCCCCAU
rnacentral:rRNA from 1 species